AAUCAAGCGCGAAAAGGGCGUUUGGUGGAUGCCUUGGCAGUAAGAGGCGAUGAAGGACGUGAUACUCUGCGAUAAGUCCUGGGGAGCUGAGAAUAAGCUUUGAUCCAGGAAUUUCCGAAUGGGGCAACCCACCUGACAGUUGAUUAUAAUUGCCUUCGGGCGGUUUAUAAUCGGCUGAAACAGGUACUUAUUACCUGAAUACAUAGGGUUUUAAGAGCAAACCCGGGGAACUGAAACAUCUAAGUACCCGGAGGAAAGGAAAUCAACAGAUACUCCGCUAGUAGUGGCGAGCGAACGCGGAUCAGCCGAGCCGAAAUUGUGACAAGAACCGGUUGGAAAACCGGGCCAUAGUGGGUGACAGCCCCGUAUUGGAAGCAUGAUCGGACGCAUUAAGUAGGGCGGGACACGUGAAAUCCUGUCUGAACAUCGGAGGACCACCUUCGAAGGCUAAGUACUCCUUACUGACCGAUAGCGAACCAGUACCGUGAGGGAAAGGUGAAAAGCACCCCGACGAGGGGAGUGAAACAGUACCUGAAACCGAACGCCUACAAUCAGUUGGAGGGCCCUUGCGGCCUGACAGCGUACCUUUUGUAUAAUGGGUCAUCGACUUGGUCUCACGAGCAAGCUUAAGCCGUUAG
rnacentral:ncRNA from 1 species